rnacentral:rRNA from 1 species
CUUACACAUGCAAGUCGAGGGGUAACAGAGAAGCUUGCUUUUGCUGACGACCGGCGCACGGGUGCGUAACGCGUAUAGAAUCUACCUUAUACUAAGGAAUAGCCUUUGGAAACGAAGAUUAAUGCCUUAUAGUAUGAUGACUUGGCAUCAAGAUAUCAUUAAAGAUUACGGUAUAAGAUGACUAUGCGUUCUAUUAGCUAGAUGGUGUGGUAACGGCACACCAUGGCUACGAUAGAUAGGGGCCCUGAGAGGGGGAUCCCCCACACUGGUACUGAGACACGGACCAGACUCCUACGGGAGGCAGCAGUGAGGAAUAUUGGACAAUGGAGGCAACUCUGAUCCAGCCAUGCCGCGUGCAGGAUGACUGCCCUAUGGGUUGUAAACUGCUUUUAUACAGGAAGAAACCAUCUCACGUGUGAGAUCUUGACGGUACUGUAAGAAUAAGGAUCGGCUAACUCCGUGCCAGCAGCCGCGGUAAUACGGAGGAUCCAAGCGUUAUCCGGAAUCAUUGGGUUUAAAGGGUCCGUAGGUGGAUAAUUAAGUCAGAGGUGAAAUCCUGCAGCUCAACUGUAGAAUUGCCUUUGAUACUGGUUAUCUUGAGUUAUUAUGAAGUAGUUAGAAUAUGUAGUGUAGCGGUGAAAUGCAUAGAUAUUACAUAGAAUACCAAUUGCGAAGGCAGAUUACUAAUAAUCAACUGACACUGAUGGACGAAAGCGUGGGGAGCGAACAGGAUUAGAUACCCUGGUAGUCCACGCCGUAAACGAUGGUCACUAGCUGUUCGAACUUCGGUUUGAGUGGCUAAGCGAAAGUGAUAAGUGACCCACCUGGGGAGUACGUUCGCAAGAAUGAAACUCAAAGGAAUUGACGGGGGCCCGCACAAGCGGUGGAGCAUGUGGUUUA